CUUAUAUCCAUCCCAAACCUAUUAGGUCUCCUCCAUACAUUCGGGAAAAUCUCGAACCUGAAACUCAACACGGAAAAGUCUGAGGCCAUCAACAUCUCUAUCCCCUCUGAACCUAGCUCACACUUGCGCUCCCAAUUCAGAUUCAGAUGGUGUGGCUCGAAACUAAAAUACCUCGGCAUCUGGUUGACUAAAGAACACUCACAUCUCUACCAGGAGAACUUUGCCCCCAUCCUGACCUCGCUCCAAGC